rnacentral:rRNA from 1 species
AGAGUUUGAUCCUGGCUCAGGAUGAACGCUAGCUACAGGCUUAACACAUGCAAGUCGAGGGGCAGCAUGAAAUUAGCUUGCUAAUUUUGAUGGCGACCGGCGCACGGGUGAGUAACGCGUAUCCAACCUUCCCGUUACUUUGGGAUAGGCUUCUGAAAAGAAGAUUAAUACCGAAUGGUUUAUAUUUUCCGCAUGGGAGAUAUAAUAAAGAUUUAUCGGUAACGGAUGGGGAUGCGUUCCAUUAGGUAGUAGGCGGGGUAACGGCCCACCUAGCCAUCGAUGGAUAGGGGUUCUGAGAGGAAGGUCCCCCACAUUGGAACUGAGACACGGUCCAAACUCCUACGGGAGGCAGCAGUGAGGAAUAUUGGUCAAUGGGCGAGAGCCUGAACCAGCCAAGUAGCGUGAAGGACGACGGCCCUACGGGUCUUAAACUUCUUUUAUAAGGGAAUAAAGUGUCCCACGUGUGGGAUAUUGUAUGUACCUUAUGAAUAAGCAUCGGCUAAUUCCGUGCCAGCAGCCGCGGUAAUACGGAAGAUGCGAGCGUUAUCCGGAUUUAUUGGGUUUAAAGGGAGCGUAGGCGGGUUGUUAAGUCAGCGGUAAAAUCGUGCGGCUCAACCGUACCGUGCCGUUGAAACUGGCAAUCUUGAGUUCGGACAAGGCAGAUGGAAUUCGUGGUGUAGCGGUGAAAUGCUUAGAUAUCACGAAGAACUCCGAUAGCGAAGGCAGUCUGCUGGGGCGAAACUGACGCUGAGGCUCGAAAGUGCGGGUAUCAAACAUGAUUAGAUACCCUGGUAGUCCGCACGGUAAACGAUGAAUGCUCGUUCUUGGCGAUAUACAGUCAGGGACCAAGCGAAAGCAUUAAGCAUUCCACCUGGGGAGUACGCCGGCAACGGUGAAACUCAAAGGAAUUGACGGGGGCCCGCACAAGCGGAGGAACAUGUGGUUUAAUUCGAUGAUACGCGAGGAACCUUACCCGGGCUUGAAUUGCGGUGGACGGGCAUAGAGAUAUGCCUUCCCUUCGGGGCCGCCGUGAAGGUGCUGCAUGGUUGUCGUCAGCUCGUGCCGUGAGGUGUCGGCUUAAGUGCCAUAACGAGCGCAACCCUUUUCCAUAGUUGCCAUCGGGUGAUGCCGGGCACUCUGUGGAUACUGCCAUCGUAAGAUGUGAGGAAGGUGGGGAUGACGUCAAAUCAGCACGGCCCUUACGUCCGGGGCUACACACGUGUUACAAUGGGGGGUACAGCAGGCCGCGACCGCGCGAGCGGUAGCCAAUCCCGAAAUCCCCUCUCAGUUCGGACUGGAGUCUGCAACCCGACUCCACGAAGCUGGAUUCGCUAGUAAUCGCGCAUCAGCCAUGGCGCGGUGAAUACGUUCCCGGGCCUUGUACACACCGCCCGUCAAGCCAUGAAAGCCGGGGGUACCUGAAGUCCGUGACCGCAAGGGUCGGCCUAGGGUAAAACCGGUAAUUGGGGCUAAGUCGUAACAAGGUAACC